UACGUAGGGGGCAAGCGUUGUCCGGAUUUAUUGGGCGUAAAGCGCGUGUAGGCGGCCAGGUAGGUCCGUUGUGAAAACUCGAGGCUCAACCUCGAGACGUCGACGGAAACCAUCUGGCUAGAGUCCGGAAGAGGGAAGCGGAAUUUCCGGUGUAGCGGUGAAAUGCGUAGAUAUCGGAAGGAACACCAGUGGCGAAAGCGGCUUCCUGGUCCAGCACCGACGUUCAGGCACGAAAGCGUGGGGAGCAAACAGG
rnacentral:rRNA from 1 species